AAUGAACGCUGGCGGCAGGCCUAAAACAUGCAAGUCGAACGCCCUAGCAAUAGGGAGUGGCGCACGGGUGAGUAACAUGCGGGAAUCUACCCAGAUCUUCGGAACAACUGAGGGAAACUUCAGCUAAUACCGGAUACGCCCUACGGGGGAAAGAUUUAUCGGUUCUGGAUGAGCCCGCGUUGGAUUAGCUAGUUGGUGAGGUAACGGCUCACCAAGGCGACGAUCCAUAGCUGGUCUGAGAGGAUGAUCAGCCACACUGGGACUGAGACACGGCCCAGACUCCUACGGGAGGCAGCAGUGGGGAAUAUUGGACAAUGGGCGAAAGCCUGAUCCAGCCAUGCCGCGUGAGUGAUGAAGGCCUUAGGGUUGUAAAGCUCUUUCAGUGGGGAAGAUAAUGACGGUACCCACAGAAGAAGCCCCGGCUAACUUCGUGCCAGCCGCCGCGGUAAAAC
rnacentral:rRNA from 1 species